GAUGAACGCUGGCGGCGUGCCUAAUACAUGCAAGUCGAGCGAACAGACGAGGAGCUUGCUCCUCUGACGUUAGCGGCGGACGGGUGAGUAACACGUGGAUAACCUACCUAUAAGACUGGGAUAACUUCGGGAAACCGGAGCUAAUACCGGAUAAUAUAUUGAACCGCAUGGUUCAAUAGUGAAAGACGGUUUUGCUGUCACUUAUAGAUGGAUCCGCGCCGCAUUAGCUAGUUGGUAAGGUAACGGCUUACCAAGGCAACGAUGCGUAGCCGACCUGAGAGGGGGGAUCGGCCACCCGGAACGUGAAAAAGGGUCCAAACUCCUAGGGGGGGCAGCGGUGGGGAAUUUUCCGAAAUGGGGGAAAGUUUGAGGGGGAAACGCCGGGGGGGGAAGAAAGGUUUUCGGUUCGAAAAACCUUUUUUUUGGGAAAAAAAAAAUGUGAAAGAAACGAGGCCCGUUUGGAGGGUACCAAAAAAAAAAGCCACGGCAAACUACGG
rnacentral:rRNA from 1 species